rnacentral:miRNA from 2 species
UAUUGCACUUGUCCCGGCCUCC